rnacentral:rRNA from 1 species
CAGGCGCGCAAAUUACCCAAUCCUGACACAGGGAGGUAGUGACAAUAAAUAACAAUACAGGGCUCUUCGAGUCUUGUAAUUGGAAUGAGUACAAUUUAAAUCCCUUAACGAGGAACAAUUGGAGGGCAAGUCUGGUGCCAGCAGCCGCGGUAAUUCCAGCUCCAAUAGCGUAUAUUAAAGUUGUUGCAGUUAAAAAGCUCGUAGUUGAACUUCAGGCUAGGUUGGUCGGUCCACCUAACAGUGAGUACUGACUGGCCUGGUCUUCCUUCUGGCUACUUAGGCUGCUUUUAAUCGGGUGGCCUAAUGUACCAGGACUUUUACUUUGAAAAAAUUAGAGUGUUCAAAGCAGGCCUACGCUUGAAUACAUUAGCAUGGAAUAAUAGAAUAGGAUCUUGGUUCUAUUUUGUUGGUUUCUAGGACUAAGGUAAUGAUUAAUAGGGACAGUUGGGGGCAUUAGUAUUUCAGUGUCAGAGGUGAAAUUCUUGGAUUUCUGAAAGACUAACUACUGCGAAAGCAUCUGCCAAGGAUGUUUUCAUUAAUCAAGAACGAAUGUUAGGGGAUCGAAGACGAUUAGAUACCGUCGUAGUCUUAACCAUAAACUAUGCCGACUCAGGAUCAGCCGGAUAUUUUUUUAGUACCGGCUGGCACUGUAUGAGA